GACGGAGGGGGCAAGCGUUGUCCGGAAUCACUGGGCGUAAAGCGCACGUAGGCGGGACGGUGCGUCGGUGCUGAAAGCGCCAGGCUUAACCUGGCGAGGCGUGCCGAUACGACCGACCUCGAGGCAGACAGAGGGUGGCGGAAUUCCGGGUGUAGUGGUGGAAUGCGUAGAGAUCCGGAGGAACACCAGUGGCGAAGGCGGCUGCCUGGGCCUGGCCUGACGCUGAGGCGCGAAAGCGUGGGGAGCAAUCCGG
rnacentral:rRNA from 1 species